CAGCAGGGUUUCUAUGUCAGGUUCGAUGUCGAUGGUACGAAAGCGGCGGCUGUACCUGCGCACGGGAACACCGUCGGGGCCCACCAGGAACUUCUCAAAGUUCCAGGCAAUGUCGUUGCGGCACACCGGAGACCAAAUGAUGUACUUGGGGUCGGUCAUGAGCGCAGUGGGGUCGUCACUGGGUGUUGGCAAGGCAUUCCGCAGGAAGGUAAAGAGCGGGUGAGCCUUCUCACCAUUCACUUCGCACUUCUCAAACAAUGUAAAAUUGGGCUCGAACCCGCCACCAGGUCGGACGUACUUGAGGGAAUUCAGAAUCUCUUCAUUCUUGCCAUUCUCCUAGGGAAGACAAAGGCAUUUAUUUAUGUGCUAGGAUUUCGGAAAGAAUGUGCUUUUUAACUGCAAAACAGAGGUUUCCCGAUGAGUCACCAGGAAGUUGCCCUCCUUGUAUAACCGAGGAUAGGCCUGCAUUCCAGCUGUAGUACCAGAGGAGAAAGUAAGCGGUGUCCCGCCCGUGGGAGCCUAGAGCCCAAGGCCACCCAUCUCGCCCCAUAUACCUGGUGUCCGAACUGAUUGCACGGGAAACCGAGCACCACCAGUCCACGAGGUCCCAGACGCUUCUGCAGAUCGUUCAUCUCGGUGUAGUCCCGGAUCGUGGUGCCUCAGAGAGACGCGACAUUCUCAAUGAGCAGCACCUUGCCCCGCAGGGAGCCCAGGCUCACAGGCUCCCCGCCCGUCAGCGGGCGCGCGGAGAAGGCAUACACGGUGGACUGUGCCGCCGCGGAGAGCCGAGCAGCACACAUACUGGAGAUGUUGGGACUCAAACGUGGAAUCCGUACUAGCGCUCACAGGGCCCUGCACCUCCUUUUAACUGGAUGGUGCUGAGAUCACGUGGCAUCGCUUUCUUUCCGGCUGGCAGCCAGCUCUAAGUCUCAGGGUCCCGCCUUAUCCGGCCUCUACCCUCCCCCCAUCGAGGAACAGGGAAGAGGGUGCGGCCGGGCUAAAGCGCCUGGAGGUGCCUAGGGCGGGUCUGGUCUAGCUCCUGUAGCACUAGUCUGGAAGGAAGCUGCUUGCUUAGGCGGGGAUCUUCCAGCUCUGUCUUACUCAACCGUUUCUUAAUUAGUCUAGAGUCCCGCCUAGGAAGAUGGCCUCUGGCAAUAACAACGGCUAAAGCAGCUCACGCACAGCUCCCUUAUAUUGUGUAACUUUACCCACACGUUUCUAGUCAUAAGGUUAUAGGGUUUUAAAAACAUAAGUUUAAUUACACUUAUUGUUUAAUUAAAUCGAAGGAGCAUGCAUGUUGA
rnacentral:lncRNA from 1 species